UACGUAGGGUGCGAGCGUUAAUCGGAAUUACUGGGCGUAAAGCGCGCGUAGGCGGCUUUGCAAGUCGGGUGUGAAAUCCCCAGGCUUAACCUGGGAACUGCAUUCGAGACUGCAUUGCUAGAGUAUGGGAGAGGGAAGUGGAAUUUCCGGUGUAGCGGUGAAAUGCGUAGAGAUGUGGAGGAACACCGAUGGCGAAGGCAGCCCUUCUGGGCCAAUACUGACGCUCAUGCACGAAAGCGUGGGGAGCAAACAGG
rnacentral:rRNA from 1 species